ensembl:lncRNA
UGAACAUUUAUUAUUUGACUGUUGAACUCCUAUAAUGUGCCAGGCUUUUUUCUAAGUAUGGAGGAUAGGGAUGCGAAUAAUACAAUUUCUGUAUUCUCACAGGAGCAGGCAGAGAAGGAAAUGGAACCCCACUCCAGUACUCCUGCCUAGAAAAUCCCAUGGACGGAGGAGCCUGGUGGGCUGCAGGCCAUGGGGUCGCUAAGAGUCGGACACAACUAAGCGACUUCCCUUUCACUUUUCACUUUCACGCAUUGGAGAAGGAAAUGGCAACCCACUCCAGUGUUCUUGCCUGGAGAAUCCCAGGGACGGGGGAGCCUGGUGGGCUGCCGUCCAUGGGGUUACACAGAGUCAGACACGACUGAAGCGACUUAGCAGCAGCAGCAGGCUGGGAGCAGGUAGAUAUCACAUAGCUAAUCGAUGUAUGUGCAUGCAGGCUAAAUAGAUAGCUUCAGGUGCGUCUGACACUUUGCCCGCCAAGCUCCUCUUUCUAUGGGAUUCUCCAGGCAAGAAUACUGAAGUGGGUUGCCAUGUCCACCUCCAGGGGAUGUUUUUGACCAGGGAUUGAACACACAUUCUAUAAGCAAGGUAAUUACUAAUAGUAAAAAUUGCUAUAAAGUGAGUAGGGGAAACUACCAUGAAACAGAGGGAAGCAAGUGCUACUUCUCCAGGGGGAUCAUGAAACGAUAUUUACAUUGAAUUCUGAAUUGAAAGAAGAAAACCAUCCAAGUGCCAGAGGCAGAUGAAGGGGACCAGAACCCAGCACGCUAAAACAUGCCACUUUAACAUAAAGAUCAUUUUACAGCUCAAGACAAUUGAGAAAGAGUAGACAAGAGGGCUCUCUGCCCUUCCCCUUUCUGCCUAAAAGGUGACAUAAAUUUCCUUUUGGUGGGGUGAUAUAAAUUUUCACUUAUACAUGGAAGAGGAGAAAGAUUCUUAAUCAUUGGAGAGGAUAUAGCCUUAUCAAUGGAGUCAGCACCAAUAAUCUCUGGGUAACAUUCUUUAUUAAAUAACCCUAACCUACCAUAUAUUCCCUAGUCACUUUUUUAUAAUUUAUCUCUUCUAGAAGGUGAGAUUUUCCUUUUCCUUUGUGUCUUCGCUUCUUCACAGUCUAUUGCUCUUUGUUAAAAUAAUGUAUAAGUCUCUGAUUCUAACUAGUCUUCUCUUCUGUGUAUCUUAUGUGCACAUAAAUUUAAAACUGUAAAUUUGUGGGCUUUUUCUUCUGUUAAUCUAUUGUUUGUUAGUUUAAUUCACAAUUCCCAGACACAGAACUUAAGAGGGUAGAGGAACAGUUUUUCCCUCUUAUACAGCCAGAGAAUAUUUCCAAGAAGAGAGUGGGUUGCCAUUUCAUUCUCCAGGGGACCUUCUCAACCCAGGGAUCAAACCCAGAUCUCCUGCAUUGCAGGCAGACUCUUUACCAUCUGAGACACCAGGGAAGCCCUGACUAACACUCCCAGACACAAAACUUGAGAGGGUAGAGGAACCCCUCCCCCCCCAGACACAAAACUUAAGAGGGUAGAGGAACAGUUUCCCUCACAUACAGCCAGUGAAUAUUUUCAAGAAGAGAGAAAUAGUAAGUAAAAAGUAUCUGAAUCAAGAGCUACCUUGAUAUGUUUAAAAGGGGGAAAAAAAUGUAGCAAUGGAGGGAAAGUUCCAAUAAAGGUCCAUAUAGUCAAAGCUAUGGCUUUUCCAGUAGUCAUGUAUGGAUGUGAGAGUUAAACUAGGAAAAAAGCUGAGUGCUGACGAAUUGAUGCUUUUGAACUGUGGUGUUGGAAAACACUCUUGAGAGUUCCUUGGACUGCAAGAAAAUCAAACUAAUCAAUCCUAAAGGAACCCAGUCCUGAAUAUUCACUGGAAGGACUGAUGAUGAAGCUGAAACUCCAAUAUUUUGGCCACCUGAUGGGAAGAACUGACUCAUUGGAAAAGACCCUGGUGCUGGGAAAGAUUGAGGGCAGGAGGAGAAGGGGACAACAGAGGAUGAGAUGGUUGGAUGGCAUCACUGCUUCGAUGGACAUGAGUUUGAGCGAGCUCCAGGAGUUGGUGAUGGACAGGGAAGCCUGGUGUGCUGUAGUCUGAGGGCUCAGACAGGACUGAGUGACUGAACUGAACUAAACAGGGGCAAGGGCUUGAAAUACAGGAAGGGGCCAGAUGAUGACUUUAUCUAAUCCAUAGAAAGACUCUUUUGUAUGUAUACAUGUCUGUAUGUAUUUAUCUAAGAGUGAGAAGAAACUAUUGGGAAAGCUAAAUAGAAGAACAACAAGUUUUACGUUUUGAAACAUUACACUGGUUAUUCUGAGAAUGGUUGACAGGAGAUGAAGAACGGGAAGAGGUGAAGCCAUUUGGGAAAAUGACCACAGUGUCAGAAGAGGUUUCUCAGUCUCUUCAAAAUGCCCCAUGAGAACAGAAACACUAGAUAACAGAACAGAACAGAAACACAUGACAAUGAUUGUAGACACAGGCUCAGUCCCUGGGUUGGGAAGAUCAUCUGGAAAAGGGCAUGGCAACCCACUCCAGUAUUCUUGCCUACAGAAUUCCAUAGACAGAGGAACCAGGUGGGCUACAUAAUCCACAGGGUUGCAUAGAGUCAGACAUGACUAAAGCAACUUAGCACACAGGGAAAACAAAAUCAGAUGGGAAGGUACCCCCACUGCCACCAAGUGCCUCCAAAUAUGAGGGAAGGAAAGACAGUCUGCGUGCACACUAGAGGGGAGCGUUUGUGGAAGAGAGGGAGGGAAAGCAGGGAGGCAGGUCGAUUGGAGAACAGAAGCUUUGGAAGAAGGGGCUUCCAUCCCUGGAUGAGUGAAAGCCUGCGGUAAGGAGGAUGAAGAGGCUAGAACAGUUUAGUCUCUCUUGAUUGAUUUGCUGGGUUUCUUCCUAGGAUUGAGGAGGUUUCUUCUAUACUGAGGACACAGCGCUUGGAGUGGAACUGAUCUCAAGCAGAAUAGGGACAACAGAGACGAAGGCAGAAGAUCUUUUAGACCAAAGUCAGGACACUGCAUUCGACAGUCAACAUAUUUUUCAACACUGUACUCUUAACCCUGGAGAAGGGAACAGCAACCCACUCUAGUAUUCUUGCCUGGAGAAUCCCAUGGACAGAGGAGAGCCUGGUGGGCUGCAGUCUAUGGGGUCACAAAGAGUCGGACAUGACUGAGCGACUUUCACUCGUACACUUAAAGCCCAACAAGAAGUCUUGUGAUGCUUGAAAAACUUUUAUGAUUCUUGCCUCUUUGUUAAAAGUUCUGAAAAACUAAUUUCAAAUAAAAAAUGCUCACAGUGAUAAAACCUCACUGUUGCUUAAAGGGUAAGUGAUUAUGGAUAAAAUGUAGGUGGUAAUGAUGAUAUAUGUGAGUUUAAAAAUAUAGUGAUUAAAGGAGUCUACAGACUAAAUGCUUCUUUAGAUAAAUCCCAUUUAAUACAUUAAGAAAAACAAUGGAUUUCUUGAUUUAUUCACUUUAGUUCCUAGGAAGCUGUGACUAGGAGAAGCUGCCUUACUGAGGUGGUGCAGUGGGAAAGAAUCCACCUGCCAAUGCAGGAGAGAUGCAAGAGACCUGGGUUCGAUCCCUGGGUCAGGAAGAUCCCUGAAGAAAGAAAUGGCAACCCACUCCAGUAUUCUUGCCUGGAAAAUUCCAUGGAGAGAGGACCCUGGUGGGCUAUAAUUGAGGGAGUUGCAAGGAGUUGGGCAUGACUGGGCACUCACAGACACAUAUUACCACAUACAGUAAAUCCUUGAACCUAAGUUAAUCAUGCAAAUGCUUCAAAGCAGAAUUUUCUCCAACUUGUAGCAGACAGAAGGAGAAAUCAGAGAUUCAAGUAUAAGAGAGAUAAUGUAUUUCUGUGGCUUUUGAAGGUGAUGUGGGCACAUGAUAAGGAAUUCUACUGGCCUCUGGAAGCAGAGAGUGGCUUAAGGUGUUCCGCCAGAAAGGAAUGGGAGUCUCAUUCCUGUAACUAUAAGCAACUAGAUUCUUCCGACAGCUGAACAAACCUGUAAGAGGAUUCUUCCCCAGUCUUACAGCUAAGAGCCCAGUCCAGUCAACACCUUGAUUUCAGCCUGUGAGACUCUAAUCCGAGAACCCAUUUGAACUGACCUGGACUCCUGACCCACAGAACUCUGAGGUAACAAAUGGAUAUCAUUUUAAGCUGCCAAGUCUGUGGUAGUUGAUUACACAACAAUAGAACACUAACAUAAAUGACAAUUUCUUCCUCAUCCAUGGAAAUAUUUUCCAAUUUGUACUGCAAUUCACAAAUACAAAUUUUCAGCUGUUAAAAAACAUAUUGUCUAUAAUUUUGUUGUCAAUGAAGUUUUGCUGUGUUCUGUUCAGUUUUGAUUAUAAAUUCUCUGUUCAGGUAAAGUGCCUGCCUACAAUGCAGGAGACCUGGGUUGGGAAGAUCCCCUGGAGAAGGAAAUGGCAACUCACUCCAGUAUUCUUGCCUGGAAAAUCCCAUGGACAGAGGAGCCUGGUAGACUACAGUCCAUGGGGUCGCAAAGAGUCGGACACGACUGAGUGACUUCACUUUCUUUUUUCUUCUCUGUACUUAAAUUUUUUUCCCCUCAAAGAGCACUGCCAUAUAUACCUUUGUACCAGUAGAGGUGGUAAGCAUUGAAGAGUGUGGUGAUAUUGAAAUUAUUAUGUAUAUUUCAUCAUAACUAUUAUUAUCACUUGGAGGGUCUCGGUUUUUUUUCCAACUAUAAAGAGUUGAGGGACUUUGCUAAAGAUAUACAAGAUCCACUGAUGCUCAGUCUGGGUGAAAAAGAGAACUAUCCCAUAAUAGCACAUUGAUAUUUUUGUGAAGGAUUAGGUGGGAGGGGACUUUUAAACCUCAAUUAAUUUUUGUCAUCUGUAUUAUCUUCUGGUAAACAGCAAGUUAUCGAACUUUAUUUUUCAGAGAUGAAAACGAAUCCGGGAAGGUAAAAUAACCUGUACAAAACUGUACCAUUGUCAUGGGAGUGGAAUCAAUUUUAAGGGUCAGAGCUCCUUCGGUAUUAUGCUUUUCUAUCUCUGGUCUUUUUCAGGCCUCCCAGAUUAUACAGUGUAUCACAGUCUCAAUUCUUCUAGGGCAAAGAGGAUUCCCCAGAAUUGAAUGCAUCUAAGAAUUGCUUAUAAAAGCCAUCGGUGUCGGUAUCACUCGUUAUCUUUCCAAAGUCAGUGAGUUCUGGAUUAUUUCAAAAAGGUCCUGUCUGUGCCUUUGGAAGCAGAGAAAUCACACCCAUCACCCAUCCACCCCUCACCUUGAAGAGUCACCAAAAACCCUAACAUACAUGCAUCUGGGUGAAAAAUACAUUUAAAGACCACAGGAUAAAUCAGUAAUGUUAUGUUUCUAAUAACAGGAAAAAAUGUGUAGAAAAAGUUUAAGAUAAGAGUUAAUAAAAUCACUGAUUGAUGAUCAAAGUAUAAUAAGGUGUUUCCUUGCAUCUUCCUAGCCAAGGAAUUAAAAGUUGAGAAUAUGUGUUACAGUACUUGAACCUCAUUGUACACCAGUAAAACUUGGAGGGCUUGUUAAACUACAGCUUACAUGACCACACACCUAGAGCUCCUGGUUCAGUAGACUUGGGGCAAGGCCAAGAAUUGGUAGUUGUAACCACCUGCGAGGUGAUGCUGUGUGCUGCUGCUGCAGAUCUGAAAAUCACACUUUGAGAAGUACUGGGGUACUGAAACUACUCAGCUAUUUCCUUAGCACUACUGUGACUACAGUAGGAUUUAGAGCCUUUCAUAGCAUCAUGAGAAGUAAGGUUGUAAAUAAAAACAUCCCUAGGAAAAGGACAAUGGUUUAUUUAUUUUCCAAAAAUUUACCGAGGAUUUUAUGUGGCUCUUUCUGCCAUCAUGGAUAAAGUUCAUAAAUCAUUUCCCAAUCAGGGAAAGAGGAACACAACAAAAUAUGUUUUAACUCUCAAUAUAGAUGUGGAGCACACUGUAUGGUGCUACCCAAAAUAUCCAAAAAAUGGCUCAUGUGUUGAUUAACUUGCAAAAAAGCAGCCUCUACCUAGAGAAAUACAUGUUUAGACGGUAUGCUAAGCACAAUUCAUUAUUUUAUCUGACAUUUAUACACAUAUGUGUGCAUGCAACCUUAAAGUUAAAUGUUACUAACCUUUGAUUACUCUAGAUUUUAUCUCUGCUUACUUACUCAGGCACAUAGCUCAAAGGUC